rnacentral:rRNA from 1 species
UAAACGACUCUCGGCAAUGGAUAUCUCGGCUCAUGCAUCGAUGAAGAACGUAGCAAAAUGCGAUACUUGGUGUGAAUUGCAGAAUCCCGUGAACCAUCGAGUUUUUGAACGCAAGUUGCGCCCGAAGCCUUCUGGUUGAGGGCACGUCUGCCUGGGCGUCAUGC